rnacentral:rRNA from 1 species
GACGAACGCUGUCGGCGUGCUUAAUACAUGCAAGUCGAACGAAGUGGCGAACGGGUGAGUAAUACGUGGGUAACCUGCCCUCAUAUUUGGGAUAAGCCUUGGAAACGGGGUCUAAUACCGAAUAAAGGGGGAUGGGCUAGCGGCCUAUCAGCUUGGUGGUGGGUGGCUGGCCUACCAAGGCGGUGACGGGUAGCCGGCCUGAGAGGGUGACAUGCCACAUUUGGACUGAGAUAACGCCCAUAAUGCCACGGGAGGCAGCAGUGGGGGAUAGUGCACAAGGGGCGAAAGCCUGAUGCAGCGACGCCGAGUGGGGGAUGAAGGCUUUGGGGUUGUAAACCUCUUUCGAUAUCGAAUGGGUAGGUGGAGAAGAAGCGCCGGCUAACUACGUGCCAGCAGCCGCGGUAAUAC